rnacentral:lncRNA from 1 species
AGUGACAUCAAGUUCUGCUAAAGCGAUCAGAAUCACAUGCGGUGUUUGUGCUUCAAUCAUCGUUAUGGUCAUUGCUUUCAUUUUCAUCUGUAAAAGAAAAGUCCGGAUUACGCGAUCCAAAAGAAGUGAUAGUAAGUUUAUUGAAUUGUUUCAAUAGGUCAUAUCUUAAAUUUGUGAAACUCGUUAAUAGAAGAAAACACAAUUAAAGAAAUCGUAUAUGAGCGUGAAGGAGUUUGUAUAUUAGAAACAGAAUCAUGCUGAUUUAUAUAAAUUUUAAGUUUAAUUUUCUCACGAAAUAUCAUUAAUUCAUUUUAAAUCUCGGGAAAAGGAUGUUUCUAAUCUGAUCCAAUAAUUGUUAAUGAAAUUUUUACAGGAAUUUCUCCGUAUGCGGUGUUUGCCUUUAAACGGAUGCCAGAAAGCUAUUCACCAGUACCUAUUGAUAGUACAACAGGAGAACGCAUAUAUGAAGAAAUAUCUGAAAGCGUGGGGAAAAGGAAUAAAAUGACAACGGACGAACAUAUAUAUGAACACAUCACUUGAAAGAAAAUAUUGUAAUUUUCCUUUCAUCCGAAACGCGACGCCAUAGCAGAAUCGCAACGCAUCGUUUCACGCAAAAAUUUUCCGUGAAGUCAAAAAUUUUUCCGGAUAUCUUAAAAUUCUUCCGGAUAUCUUUUACAACUAAAAGGGCACUUCUGCCCCCCUGCCCCCCUAGCAAAAGGCAAGGGGGGCAGCCGCCCCCCCCCCCUGCCCCCCAGUUCCGGCGUCCCUGUACUUUUAUGUUCUUC